AUUUUGAGUUUAUAUAAUUUGGACAUUUUUUUUUCGAGAAAGGUGAUUUGCUAUUUGUUUUGUUUAAUUUUUUAGAAAUAAAUUUUAUUGAAAACAUAAAUCAACGAGACUUCGAACUUUGGAUUUCAGAUACGUACCAAUUAUCAAAAUUUCUUGUCACUUGCGUUAAAAACGGAUAGUUUAGUUGUUUAUACAACUAGAGUUUUGUGAGUGCAUUUAUAAUCUCCUUUGAAGCUGAGUAUAUAUAUAAGCCUUUUAAGUUAGAAUUUAGAUAGUGUUUGGUUGGAGUAUAAGAAGGGGAGAGUAAUGUUGGCUUAAAUGGGCCAGCAUCCUGCCCUGCGGUGGGAGAUCAUGUUGGGCCGAGUCAUAAUCGAAAUGACGUGAGGCUGGGUCGGUCGAGUCAUGUUCGAAGUAACGUAAGGUUGGUUGGGCCGAGUCACAAUCGAGAUCCGUGAGUGUUGUAUCGGUACGCUUUAAGUGAAUUGGUUGCAUAUUUCUAACAGCUCGAGCUUUUGAGAUUAAUAGUUGUGCCAACGAUCCGACAAGUGGUAUCAGAGCCAGAGGUCACCGAUUCGAUUCCUAUAUGCUGCAAAUGUAUGCAGAUGCUGGAGGAGGGAUUGUUGGCUUAAAUGGGCCAGCAUCCCUCCCUGUGGCGGGAGGCCAUGUUGGGCCGAGUCAUAGUCGAAAUGACGUAAGGCUGGAUGGGCCGAGUCAUGUUCGAAGUGGCGUGAGACUGGUUGGGCCGAGUCAUAAUCGAGACCCGUGAGCACUGUAUCUGCACGCUUUAAGUGAAUUGGUUGUUUAUUUCUAACAGUUUAAACUUUUGAGAUUAAUAGUAGAGCCAACGAUUCGACAAGUAAAUCUUUAUUCCCCUCUAUCCAAACAAAAAAAUUUUUUGGUGGAAACAAUAGUUUCUUGGAAACUCGUUAAUGGGGUGGGAACUAUUCCACCCCGUUGGUGGAACAAGUUUGGAGAGAGAGAAUUUUAAAUUUUAAAUUUAUUAAAAAAUUUAUAAUCUUAAUUUCAAAAUUAAAAUAUAUAUUUUUUUAAAUUUUAAAUUUUAAAUUUUAAAUUCUUAAUUUUUCAAAUUUAAGAUUUGAUAUUUUAUAUUUUUAAAUUUAAAAUUUGAUAUUUUAAAAUUUUCAAAUUUAAAUUUGAUCUUAAAUUUAAAAUUAAAAUAUUGGAUUUUAUGUUUUAAAUUUAAAAUUUAAAAUUUAAAAAAUUAAAAUUUUAAAUUUAAAAAUUUAAAUAUGAAAUUUAAUUUUUCAAAUUCAAAUUUAAUGAGAGUAGUAAUAUUAUAAUUUUUUAUUUAUAACUGCCAGCUAUUUUUCUUAUUCUAUCUUAUCUAUCCAAAUGUUUUUUUUUUUAUUCCCUAGAGCAACCGACUUUUCAUCCAAACAUUAUUUUUCUUAUUUUCGGAAACAAUUCAAUUUUUAUCCAAACACAAAAUUGAUCUAAUUUUUAUUUAUACCUGAAUUUAUAUCUAUUUAUAAAAUAAACAGUUUUUAUUUAUACCCGAACUAUACGAAAUCUUAGAAA
rnacentral:lncRNA from 1 species